rnacentral:rRNA from 1 species
UAAAAGCUACCCUGGGGAUAACAGGCUUAUCUCCCCCAAGAGUCCACAUCGACGGGGAGGUUUGGCCCCUCGAUGUCGGCUCAUCACAUCCUGGGGCUGUAGUAGGUCCCAAGGGUUGGGCUGUUCGCCCAUUAAAGUGGUACGCGAGCUGGGUUCAGAACGUCGUGAGACAGUUCGGUCCCUAUCCGUCGCAGGCGUAGGAAAUUUGAGA